rnacentral:rRNA from 1 species
CACGUAGGGUGCAAGCGUUGUCCGGAAUUAUUGGGCGUAAAGAGCUCGUAGGCGGCCUGUUACGUCUGCUGUGAAAUCCCGGGGCUUAACCCCGGGCGUGCAGUGGAUACGGGCAGGCUGGAGGCAGGCAGGGGAGAACGGAAUUCCCGGUGUAGCGGUGAAAUGCGCAGAUAUCGGGAGGAACACCGGUGGCGAAGGCGGUUCUC